rnacentral:lncRNA from 8 species
CAGUGGGAUGGAGAGGGGGGGGGGGGGUAAAGUUAGCUACUCCCCCGCUCUCUAAUCCCUUGCAUCCGGUUGACAUUUGUUCUCUCUUUCUUUCUUCCCCCAGUCAGUCGGUGUAUUCGUUCGCUGAGGGAAUUUGAGAUUCAAUUAAAGACACACAUAACCGGGAGAAGAGGAGCCUUUUAGUGCUAGGGUUAAUGAGCCAGUCUAAUGAGCAGGAGGACCAGGCCCGGGAUGGAGGGGAGGAGAGGGCGACAGCUAGGCCGCAGCUUCCGUCCAUUACCACACACACGCACACUCAUUCACACACUGGUAGGAAAAGCCAUGGUGGCACCAUUUUGAUACAUAAUCAUGGAACCCGUGGCAGGGGGUUUCUCUGCAUGUGUUGGAUAUUCUCACACCCGGGCAGAAUAUUAAGCCCUAGGUAUUUUCUGUAAAAGCACUUACAUUUUACAUUUAAAUGUAUAUCAAAUCACUUAAUUGAAAUGUUAUUUCUGAACGUUUAAUUGGAAUACACAACAUAGUUUCAAUGAACACGAAUUUCCAUCCUAAUCAUUCAGUAAUAAUAAUAACCAUAUAGUUUCAGUAAGAGUUGCUGUAUAACCAUAGCUCGCUAUAUCAAACAUGUGCUCUGACAGCAACUUGGACAGGUCCACUUGAUGAAUGUGACUAUGGUGAGACCUGAGGACAGACCUGAGGACAAAGUCUGCAUCCCAAAUGGCACCGGAUUCCCUUUGUAGUGCACUACUUUUGACCAGGGCCAUAGGGCUCACAUCAAAACCUGUGCCCUAUAUACCGUACACUGUAGGGAAUAGGGUGCCAUUAGGGGCAGACAGAGUUUCAAUGCGAGCGGAGAGUAGCGGUGGGGUUUCUAUCUCAUCAGAGGUAACAGAAGGUGACAGGUGGGAAGGAAGGCAUGCAGUCAAUGAGGUGAGAAUCCAUUGAUCAGGUGAGCUGUGUGAAAAGCCUGCUGUGGGGAGAUCAGUAGAAUGACCAGGUUUUCUGGUCACUAUGAAAGUGAUAAGUGGUGUGCUUGGGAAGAAAAUGGCUAAUAUUCAUUAUUUAGGAAUGUAGGUAAGCGUUGUAUACAGAUAUCGCUAAUUGGGUAUAGUGAGAAAUUGCGUUAAGUUGAUUCAGUUGAAAUCCUUGAAAUCUAUAUUGUUUGAUAUACUGGACUGAAUGCGGUACCUUGUGCUACUGUGCAAAAUUACUGGAAGGUGUUUUAAUCAAAUGUUUGUUGUAAUUGUAUGUUGCAAAUAGUAGGUAUGUCUCCACUAUUUGUAAAU